CAAACACGAGUCAGGAUUCACUCAAAUAUCUCACAAACACACAAAUGUAGAGUUUCACUGAAUCAGACGGCGAGAGCGAGGCUCAGAGAUGUUUGCAUCUUAUUCGUCUGUCAGUGAGAUUACACCAAAGUCACCGAGCCGAUUUCAUUAACUGUACUUGGUGGAGAAGUGGAGCGUGGGUGGAGGAAAAGGUGAGAACAUUUUGGAUCACUUUAUUUAAAACCGUGAAGCGCGGCAUUGACUGUGACUUCAGAUGUGACUUCUUUUAUGUGUUUCUUUUGCUUUCUGGGGAAAGUAGAGGAAACACAUAAACCAGGGAGGAUGUUCCUCAGCUCACUUCAAGAUACUUUAUGCUCCACCUCGAUUUCAUGCUCUUGUUCCUUCCUGUUGGGUUUCAGAGCCACGUAAAGUUUUUGGACUAAAGUGAGUAUCACGUUUUCCAAGAUUUUAUCCUGAUAUGUUCAUUAUGAUCACUAAAAUGUCUAAUGUGUAACAAUACAAAGAAAUACAGUUAUCUGAACACCUCAACGCUCAGUGUUAUUAAGCAGUGACAUAAAUUUAUCCUCAGACGACGAGCGUGAGGUCUGUGCAGAAGUCUGUGCAAAGACUCGUCCAUGCAGAAUUAGAGCGCACCAGGAGCAUCUUAGCCCAUUUUGGGGGUGCUGAAGGACCCCAAAAUGAAUCAAAGCACCCCCAAAGAUUUCUCACUUUUUUGACAGUAUUUGCUGUUUGUGUGACACACUACUAAAAAUAUAAAAACCAUAGAGUACUUGUUUUGUAGUUAAAAUAUUAUGUCUCAAAGUAUAGAUAUGUUGAAAACAUGUUUUCCGACGAUGUUUGCUACCCUACAGUCCGUCCUGCUCUGUAGUAAAAUCAGCGACAUUUGACCGUCAUUAAAAUUUAUAUAUCCUAUUUAAAAUGUAAAACUUAAAAUUGUCCGUAGCCUGCUGUUGUUACCACUGUCCUGUUGCAAAUGGAAUGAGAGAAGCUGCUUAUUUGGUCAUAUGUGCCGAUAUUAAACCCAAGGUACUAACUAGCUACCUAACUAACAUUUAAGGAUGCAGGGACAGACAGAGACAGGGAAGAAGUCUCAUCGUGACACGUAAAGCUGAUGUUGCCUGGCUGGGCAGCUCUCAGCACCCCCAAAGCUCUGAUCCUGGAAUCGCCCCUGCAGCGCACCAACUGCACAUGCUCACUUCAAGCAGAGAUCCAAGAAGUCAGGUUUAUUUUUAUAGCACCAAAUCACAACGAGUCGCCUCAAGGUGCUUUAUAUUCUACUGCAAAGACUCUACAACAGGUGGGGAACUCCAGGCCUCGAGUACCGGUGUCCUGCAGGUUUUAGAUCUCACCCUGGGUCAGCACACCUGAACCACAUGAUUAGUUCAUUACCAGGCCUCUGGAGAACUUCAAGACAUGUUGAGGAGGUCAUCUAAAACCUGCAGGACACCGGCCCUCGAGGCCUGGAGUUCCCCACCCCUGCUCUACAACCUGACUCCAUAACUUGCCGUGCUGCAGCAUCAGUCAUUCUCCUGAUUUGAAACGAAGAAGAACCUGCGUGGAGAUCAGGUUAUCCAAGCCUGGAUAACUUCACUGCUGCGUGCGCCACCUACUUAACAAUGAUAAAGCAGCCGUCUUUGUUGUAUAAUUGAUGGCAUGUUGGAGGUGAGAGCACAACAGCAGUGAGGGUGUUGGAGAACGAGCAGAACAAAAGCAGGAGCUGCUCUGCAGACGAGGUCAUCGCGCUCGCCGUGUGUGUGUCUGCUCUGAUCUGUGUGCAUCAACGAGAAACAACAGAAGCACAGUGUAUUUAAAAAGUUGUGGAUUUUCACGCUCCAGCUCAAACACAGAGGAAACGCUGAUGACACGAUCAACACAAACAGUUUCUCGCAUGGGGAGGUGGGGUUCAGCGGGAAGGUGACGUUUGUUCUCGACGAAAAACACGUUACUGUGCGUUUUAGCCCGCCGUCUCAUCUGUGCAUGAAAGACGAGCGCAGCUUCCAGGUCCGAGGAGUGCACGCUGCAGGUCUCUUUGAAACAACUUAAAAAUGGCUGUUUUGGUUUCAAGAUUUGUCCUCAGAGAUUUGUUCUCAUUUCUGUCCACAGUCGUCUGGAGUUUGUGCUGAAUUCAAAUCCUCGUGUAACACAUCUGAUCUGCACAGAGCUACGAGAGCGCCAUUGAUAACUCUGAGCGGUGGAGGCGUGCAGAAAUCAGACACCAUAUGUAUGUGAGAGAACUUAAGCAGGUGGGAAAAGCAGCAGCAGCACAGAGACGGAUAAAACAGCAGAUUAGUUAUGACUUCACACAAGUUUGCCAGGAUCAAUAAGCUGAGAUUGUAGCACAUGAUGGAUCUCACCGCUGUUUCUUCACCUUCCCUCUGAUAAAUCAGAUUAACAGCGUGCAGAUGUGAGCUGGCUGCAGGAUUAAAGUGUGCAGAGCAGCACCGAGCUUCACUUCCUCACUCAGCGUCCUGAGCACAGCAGAGAAUCUUCAGCAGGUCCAGGAUCUGCCGCCGAGUCUCUCCCAGGUGGACGCGGCGUCCUCACCGAGGAGGAGGAGCUCUUCCUGCUCCUUGUAUGUGCUGUUUCAUUCUCUCAGUCUCCGCCCCCACCUGUGCUGUCUGCUGAGCACGAACCUUUAAUGAGCAGGUUUGUUGGCAGCAGCACUCCACAACAUUUACAGAAAUCCAUGUUUCAUCACAAAAACAAGCCAUCGAAUAUGAAACAGAGCCUCCUAACGCCCAGCAGGUCACCGUCGACCCUCGAAGGUUAGCACUAACACAGGCGGGGUCAGCUGACCUCACUGCACUUCACUGUCUUCAUACUGAUCGUGGUUCAAAUCUAAACUACAAACUAAAACCAGAUGGGAAAAAAUCGGCUGGUUGAUUAAAAUAAAAAUGAAAACUACAUGAAAUGAUUCCUCAAACAGUAAAUAUCCUUGGUUUUAGAAUUAGUUUGAUAAUUAAAAAAAGAUUCAAACUAAAGUAAAACUAAAAUUAUUCAUAGAUUAAAAUAAGAAAACUCUGGAAACUCAUCAAAUCUAAACUGAAAUAAAAACUAAUGAGAAAACAGAAACCUGACAGUUUGUCAUGAUGGCCAAACUUUAAUACAUCGCUGAGCUUCACUCUGCUCAGUCCAAAGGAGGAAAGUUACAAACAUGAAAAUGGCCACAUUUGUCCCUCUGGGCUGUUUAAAGGGCCAAUACAUGAGGAAACGAUGAAGGAUGAAGCUGAUCUGAGAGGCUGGCGUGUGUGUGUGUGUGUGUGUGUGCGUGCGUGCGUGCGUGUGUGUGUGUGUGUGUUUCACAAAGACUAAAAACAUCAGGUCACUGAGGUUUGAAGCUUAUCAGAGAUAGCGAUCUGAAGAGCAGGUGCUGUGAGUGAGGGCGACGCCCCUCUAACACACCAGACUCCCAGAAUCCUCGGUGCUAAUGCGACACAGCGCUGGCUCGCUCGUGUUGAGGAAAUGAGCGAUGGCGUCAUCUCGAGCGGUUUGACCGCUUCAAGUGACGAAAGGAGCCGGAGUGGAGCGCACCUCAUCUAAUCCAAAAUUUAAGAGCCAUUUACAAAGAUAAUUUUAGCUCGGCGCCGCCUCCUGAUGGGCCUCUGGACUCCACAGACUUGCUCCACUGUGAAGGAGAAGGUGUGACCUGUCCUGCAGGCAGCAGUGAAUCAUGGGUAAAAGCGUGCAGACAGUCACUUAGAAACGUUACACAUGAAUACUGAUCGACUGCUUUGUCAUCACUGAUGCGAGCCACGUUACCUGGUUCCUCUCAUCUCGCCGAUUCCUUUUAUAAUCAAUCUUAAAUCUCAGCUCGUCUCAUUUAUUAAGAGCUUGGUGAGUUUUGUCUUCUUCUUCUCUGCCUGAACAUUUUAAAUAAAAUUCAUUAAAAACAAAACUGUGAUAUCAAAAGCCAUCAAGCUGCUGUCACCUGAGCUUUUUAAUGAAUUCACGGUUUCUUCUGUGAAAUUAACAAAAACCGUUCACGUGACUUUACAGAGGCAACAGAACCAAAACUGAAGAACUGAGUUUGUGAGCCGGAGCGCCGGGGACGAGUGCAGGAAUUUAAGUACCCCGGGGUUUUGUUCGUGAGUGGGAGGUGGGACAAUACCCCACCUUCAGCUGAGGUCAACUCUGGGUCGUGACCAGACGAUCUUCCCCUGAAGGAUGGCAUCCACCUUAGUGACGGGCGAGGAGUUCAUCUGGGCGCGCUCAGAGCAGAGCCGCUGGAAAGGAGCCGGCUCAGGUGGUUCGGGCACAGGUAUCAGUGAUAUCUGCACACGUUCAGACGUACCGCUGUGCAGAGAGCCAUCUUCUGGGAAGUCUGCGUCCAGCAUGAGAUCAUCAUCAGCCAGAUCGCACGAGUCCAGGUUGUUCAGGAUGUCCUGAAAGACAACGUACGACAGAGACACUAACAGGUGACAGAAGAUGUGCCAAAGAGGAGGACAAGUCCUCGGGGACCUUCAGGGCCUGAAAUCAUCGCCAUAUUUGGAAGAAGAUGCUGGAAAGAGGAACUUCAGUGUCUGCAUUUAGCUCUUAAAAUUGAUCAUUUACUGUGAAAGAUGCAAAUAAUGUUCUUAUAACGCGAGAAGGGGCGUUAACCCUGACAUUAUAUAUUGGUUUGUUUUUGUGCCACAUUUUCGAGUUCGGGACGCUCACUAAGCCGAGCUAGCAGCUUUCACAUCAUUGGGUCACCUGUUACUGCAGCUGGUUAACGACAACAACACGACUACUAAGAAAUCCACGCAGCUCCAAAACUAAAGAGUUUCAUGCAUCUAUAAAAUGUAUUUAAUAAAAACAUUUAUUAGCAGAGCCAUGAGUAAGUCUGUUACUGGGUAAACAAAACUGUUAGCUCCAGGCUAAGAAACGGUGCGUCCCUUUAAAACAAAGAAAUGUUCUCUCUGCUGUCGAAUGAGCUCUGAGGAUAAAUAUCUAUAACUAAUCAAUCAUAUCUAUCAGUUAAACAUGAACAUUAGUUUUUACCUUGUGUUGUGUAACAUGUCAACAUGUCACUGGACAUUUGGAAGCUACAGGUUAAGGAUCAGCUUUGAGCGCCUUUCUUUCCUGUUGUUCAGCUAAUGACACAUUUACAGGACAACACAUGCUGACCAUGUUUUUAAAGCUAUUCUGAAAAAAUAAAAGUUCGUCAUUAGAAAACAGCAGCAGAUGAUCUUUUUUAUCAUCCAGCACAGCAGUCGGAAAACUUGAUAGUAUCUCAAGUAUUUGUGUCUUGGUGGAAAAAGAACAUUUAUUCGAAUAAUUCUCUAUUUGAUUCUAGUUUUGCACAAGGUGACACAGACAAAGAGACGUGCUGCACAGCCGACCUCGAAGAAACACAAGGACCAAAGAAAAAAAUCAACAGCAAUUUAUUUCCUCCCUGUAACGAAGCCGCUCCAGCACGAAGGCUGACAAAAGACAGACCUUCCCCUCAUCAUCAGCAGAAGGUCUUUGUGCUUGCUGAUCAACAUCGCUCUGAGUUCUUCUGUCUGUGCAAGAGUUUGAAAGCUGCUUCAUGCAGAAGCAUCAGCCUGCACGUGCUCAGCAUUCCCGAUGAACCACAUGCAGUUAGCCUGUAGCUACGACACAGUGGGCUCCUCCAGCCACCAUCACGCCCAUGAAGAUGAUCUGCAGCGAUAACCACAACAAAAGUUACAGGAGUCGUUUUUAGUCAAACGGCUUCAAACUGUCUCAGA